rnacentral:rRNA from 1 species
GACGAACGCUGGCGGCGUGCUUAACACAUGCAAGUCGAACGGAAAGGCCCUGCUUGCAGGGUACUCGAGUGGCGAACGGGUGAGUAACACGUGGGUGAUCUGCCUGCCCCUCCGGGUUAGCCCGGGAAAACGGGUCUUAUACCGGAAAGGAGGCAAUUUUAGUUGGGAGGGUGGAAAGGUUUUUUGGUGUAGGAUGAGCUCGCGGCCUAUCAGCUUGUUGGUGGGGUAAUGGCCUACCAAGGCGGCGACGGGUAGCCGGCCUGAGAGGGUGGACGGCCACAUUGGGACUGAGAUACGGCCCAGACUCCUACGGGAGGCAGCAGUGGGGAAUAUUGCACAAUGGGCGCAAGCCUGAUGCAGCGACGCCGCGUGGGGGAUGACGGCCUUCGGGUUGUAAACUCCUUUCGCUAGGGACGAAGCUUUUUGUGACGGUACCUAGAUAAGAAGCACCGGCUAACUACGUG